rnacentral:lncRNA from 1 species
AUUGUUUUUUAGAAGCUUGUAAAAAAUAUUUAAUACAAAAAGAGUUAAUAGAAUCUGAAGAAGAACAGAAUGAUAUAACUCAAAUAGAAUUAUCAGAAAUAAAAAUAUUAAGAAAAAGGAUAGAAAACUUAAAAGAUAUGCAAAGAUAUAUUUUACAGAAAUUAGAAUUUUUUGAAAUAAGUAAAAAAGGAAAAAACCUAGAAAUAAUUCCUGAACAAUCAGAAUUAGUUCAAGUUUUUUGUAAUUCAGAAAAAUUAAAAAGUAUUAAAGUAAAAUGUUAUGUUAGAAUAGAAAAUUAUGAAAUAGUUUGUUUAGGUUUAAUAGACUCAGGAUGUAGUCAUUGUGUAAUUAAUAAAAG